rnacentral:lncRNA from 1 species
AGUGGGCGUGCAGGAGAAGCUGUAGGUCAGGAGGUAGAGUUGGCAGUGGGCGUGCAGGAGAAGCUGUAGGUCGGAGAGGUAGAGGUGGCAGUGGGCGUGCAGGAGAAGCUGUAGGUCAGGGGGUAGAGGUGGCAGUGGGCGUGCAGGAGAAGCUGUAGGUCAGAGUGGAUAGGUGGCAGUGGGCGUGCAGGAGAAGCUGUAGGUCAGGAGGUAGAGGUGGCAGUGGGCGUGCAGGAGAAGCUGUAGGUCAGGAGGUAGAGGUGGCAGUGGGCGUGCAGGAGAAGCUGUAGGUCAGGAGGUAGAGUUGGCAGUGGGCGUGCAGGAGAAGCUGUAGGUCGGAGAGGUAGAGGUGGCAGUGGGCGUGCAGGAGAAGCUGUAGGUCGGAGAGGUAGAGGUGGCAGUGGGCGUGCAGGAGAAGCUGUAGGUCGGGGGUGGAGAGGU